GCUGAUGCGUUGUUGGGUAGGGGAGCGUUCUGUAAGCCUGCGAAGGUGGCCUGUGAGGGUUGCUGGAGGUAUCAGAAGUGCGAAUGCUGACAUAAGUAACGAUAAAGCGGGUGAAAAGCCCGCUCGCCGGAAGACCAAGGGUUCCUGUCCAACGUUAAUCGGGGCAGGGUGAGUCGACCCCUAAGGCGAGGCCGAAAGGCGUAGUCGAUGGGAAACGGGUUAAUAUUCCCGUACUUGGUGUUACUGCGAAGGGGGGACGGAGAAGGCUAUGUUGGCCGGGCGACGGUUGUCCCGGUUUAAGCGUGUAGGUGUGUGUUCCAGGUAAAUCCGGUUCACUUUAACACUGAGGCGUGAUGACGAGGCACUACGGUGCUGAAGCAACAAAUGCCCUGCUUCCAGGAAAAGCCUCUAAGCAUCAGGUAACAUCAAAUCGUACCCCAAACCGACACAGGUGGUCAGGUAGAGAAUACCAAGGCGCUUGAGAGAACUCGGGUGAAGGAACUAGGCAAAAUGGUGCCGUAACUUCGGGAGAAGGCACGCUGACAUGUAGGUGAAGUGAUUUACUCAUGGAGCUGAAGUCAGUCGAAGAUACCAGCUGGCUGCAACUGUUUAUUAAAAACACAGCACUGUGCAAACACGAAAGUGGACGUAUACGGUGUGACGCCUGCCCGGUGCCGGAAGGUUAAUUGAUGGGGUCAGCGCAAGCGAAGCUCCUGAUCGAAGCCCCGGUAAACGGCGGCCGUAACUAUAACGGUCCUAAGGUAGCGAAAUUCCUUGUCGGGUAAGUUCCGACCUGCACGAAUGGCGUAAUGAUGGCCAGGCUGUCUCCACCCGAGACUCAGUGAAAUUGAACUCGCUGUGAAGAUGCAGUGUACCCGCGGCAAGACGGAAAGACCCCGUGAACCUUUACUAUAGCUUGACACUGAACAUUGAGCCUUGAUGUGUAGGAUAGGUGGGAGGCUUUGAAGUGUGGACGCCAGUCUGCAUGGAGCCGACCUUGAAAUACCACCCUUUAAUGUUUGAUGUUCUAACGUGGACCCGUGAUCCGGGUUGCGGACAGUGUCUGGUGGGUAGUUUGACUGGGGCGGUCUCCUCCUAAAGAGUAACGGAGGAGCACGAAGGUUGGCUAAUCCUGGUCGGACAUCAGGAGGUUAGUGCAAUGGCAUAAGCCAGCUUGACUGCGAGCGUGACGGCGCGAGCAGGUGCGAAAGCAGGUCAUAGUGAUCCGGUGGUUCUGAAUGGAAGGGCCAUCGCUCAACGGAUAAAAGGUACUCCGGGGAUAACAGGCUGAUACCGCCCAAGAGUUCAUAUCGACGGCGGUGUUUGGCACCUCGAUGUCGGCUCAUCACAUCCUGGGGCUGAAGUAGGUCCCAAGGGUAUGGCUGUUCGCCAUUUAAAGUGGUACGCGAGCUGGGUUUAGAACGUCGUGAGACAGUUCGGUCCCUAUCUGCCGUGGGCGCUGGAGAACUGAGGGGGGCUGCUCCUAGUACGAGAGGACCGGAGUGGACGCAUCACUGGUGUUCGGGUUGUCAUGCCAAUGGCACUGCCCGGUAGCUAAAUGCGGAAGAGAUAAGUGCUGAAAGCAUCUAAGCACGAAACUUGCCCCGAGAUGAGUUCUCCCUGAGACUUAAAGUCUCCUGAAGGAACGUUGAAGACGACGACGUUGAUAGGCCGGGUGUGUAAGCGCAGCGAUGCGUUGAGCUAACCGGUACUAAUGAACCGUGAGGCUUAACCUUACA
rnacentral:rRNA from 1 species